rnacentral:rRNA from 1 species
CAGCCGCCGCGGUAAUACGAAGGGUGCAAGCGUUAAUCGGAAUUACUGGGCGUAAAGCGUGCGUAGGCGGUGAGUUAAGUCUGCUGUGAAAUCCCCGGGCUCAACCUGGGAAUGGCAGUGGAUACUGGCUCGCUAGAGUGUGUCAGAGGAUGGUGGAAUUCCCGGUGUAGCGGUGAAAUGCGUAGAGAUCUGGAGGAAUACCGAUGGCGAAGGCAGCCAUCUGGCCUAAUACUGACGCUGAGGUACGAAAGCAUGGGGAGCAAACAGGAUUAGAUACCCCAGUAGUCCCUGUCUCUUAUAC